rnacentral:lncRNA from 1 species
UAACAACAAAAGAAAAGAGGUAGCACCAAGCUUAUCCCGGCUCACACUAUCACAAUAAUGGCCGUUUCUUCCUCUCUCUCAUCCUCCUUAUCCUACCACAAGAUACCAACUGCUACAUCUCUAAUGAAAACUACUUUUUCUAACUAUUCAUCCAUUUUAACUACUGAACUACCUUUCUAACAGUCAUCUAUCCCUGUUUAUACUAUAAACUAAGUAUCUACAAAUCAGCAAUUAACUACUUAUUCUACAUAGCCCCACUCCUAACUGUGCAGCGUCCUCGCAAACAACCAGUUCGAAAUAAGAACUGAUGACUCUUUAGCAUUGCCCAUACUCAUAGCUACUGAUUACAAUUCUAAAGUCACUUCUUCGUCUUCCCCGUCUGAUACAUUUAUUAGUACUAUGUUCAAUUUGGCCGUUAA